UACAGAGGUCUCAAGCGUUGUUCGGAUUCAUUGGGCGUAAAGGGUGCGUAGGCGGGCUAGUAAGUCAGUGGUGAAAUCUCCGGGCUUAACUCGGAAACUGCCGUUGAUACUAUUUGUCUUGAAUAUCAUGGAGGUAAGCGGAAUAUGUCAUGUAGCGGUGAAAUGCUUAGAUAUGACAUAGAACACCGAUAGCGAAGGCAGCUUACUGCAUGUUCAUUGACGCUGAGGCACGAAAGCGUGGGGAGCAAACAGG
rnacentral:rRNA from 1 species